AGAAGCUGAGCCAGCAUAGAAAAACACUGGAUAGUCACCCAAAUCAUGACAGAGAGUGCAUUGAGUUACACUAUACUAGCUUUAAGCAGUCUGGCCAUUCUCAUCUGACCUUUGGCAUCAUCAAGUGCUCAGGUGAAAUACGCCGAAGGCAAUGAUUAUGUUUGGAUUUUGGAAAUAACUGUUAAUUAGAUUUAAAUAGGCUUUUACUCUGGAAGCUGAAGCCAAUGAUUCUAGCAAGAAAUGAUCAUAUGAAAGACCAAAUCCCAG